GUGGGGAAUAUUGGACAAUGGGCGCAAGCCUGAUCCAGCCAUGCCGCGUGAGUGAUGAAGGCCUUAGGGUUGUAAAGCUCUUUCACCGAUGAAGAUAAUGACGGUAGUCGGAGAAGAAGCCCCGGCUAACUUCGUGCCAGCAGCCGCGGUAAUACGAAGGGGGCUAGCGUUGUUCGGAUUUACUGGGCGUAAAGCGCACGUAGGCGGUUUGUUAAGUCAGGGGUGAAAUCCCGGAGCUCAACUCCGGAACUGCCUUUGAUACUGGCAAGCUAGAGUCCGGAAGAGGUAAGUAGAACUCCUAGUGUAGAGGUGGAAUUCGUAGAUAUUAGGAAGAACACCAGUGGCGAAGGCGGCUCACUGGUCCGGUACUGACGCUGAGGUGCGAAAGCGAGGGGAGCAAAUGGGAUUAGAAACCCGUGUAGUCC
rnacentral:rRNA from 1 species